GACGAACGCUGGCGGCGUGCCUAAUACAUGCAAGUCGAACGCAGUGGGGACGGGUGAGUAACACGUGGGUAACCUCCCAUCAGAGGGGAUAACACUUGGAAACAGGUGCUAAACCGAUACUGAUGGAUGGACCCGCGGUGCAUGAGCUAGUUGGUGCGGUAACGGCUCACCUAGGCCACUAUGCAAAGCCGACCUGAGAGGGUGAUCAGCCACACUGGGACUGAGACACGGCCCAGACUCCUACGGGAGGCAGCAGUAGGGAAUAUUCGGCAAUGGACGAAAGCCUGACGCAGCAACGCCGCGUGAGUGAAGAAGGCUUUCGGAUCGUAAAACUCUGUCGUUAGGGAAGCGGUAUCUAACCAAAAAGCAACGGCUAACUACGUGCCAGCAGCCGCGGUAAUUC
rnacentral:rRNA from 1 species